GAAUAACGUCGUGGGAGAGACAAGAAUGUCUUCCACGGACUUCUGUUAUAGUGAUAACUAUUGAAGUAUAUACUAUACUACUCCCCCUCUCAGAGCCGACAACAUGGCCAGACACAUUUCUGACUUGUUUGCCGAAGAUUGGUGGGUUCCACUCUCCUAAAAACUUUGAUACAAGAAUGAAAAGAGAUGAGAAUCUGGAAUGUUUCACCUUUGAGGGCUAUGACAUUGCUCAAGCUGAUCCAAGAACCAUUGCAAACACUCGAGAUGGCAUUUUAAAUUGGGGGAGAGUAAGUCAUUUGUUAUGGAAUUUGAGUAGCUUUUUAUAGCAGUAAAAUCAUUAGGUAGAUAAUGUACUGUGGUUAUCCCUUUGAUUAUGUGUUUGAUAUAAUGUGACUUAUGCUUAUAAACUUACCUAUAGACUUAUACAAACAUACUGUACAUACAGAUGGUAUUGCACGUAGCUAAGGAGAUUAUGUCCUGUAGAAAUGUAUGGUUUGUUUUUGUUUGCCGGGUGACACUAGUGUUUGUAGGUUGUUGUCCUCAGAUCCUCAAAAAGUUCUACAGCUGCACCAUCGAGAGAAUCCGGUUGCAUCACUGCCUGGUAUGGCAACUGCUCAGACAACCGCAAGGCACUAUAGAGGGUAGUGCGAACGGCACAUCACUGGGGCCAAGCUUCCUGCCAUCCAGGACCUUUUAUACCAGGCGGUGUCAGAGGAAGGCCCUAAAAAUGGCCAAAGACUCCAGCCACCCUAGUCCUAGACUGUUCUUUGCUACCACACAGCAUGCGCUAUGAUGAUGCUUUAUUGCUGGAUAUAAAAUGUGAUAGGAUGUAUUGUGCCUACCCCUCAUUAGGCUAUAUACUGUUAGAUAACUCCAGAUAAAAAUGUGUUUCCUUUUUGCAGGUGCAGAUUUACAGCAUAGAUUAACAGCAGAGUGGAAUAUCCAUCACGGCAGUUUUCAUUGACAGAGAUUGUGUGUGUGUGUAUGUGAGUGUGAGUCGCUAUAGCCAUGGAAUAUUGUAUUAUACUAUAUUGAAGCACUUUGUUUGCAGUUGCAGUACACUGAUAAUGCUGAUUUUGAGGCCAUAUCCAGUUAAAUUCCUUCUGUCUCCCAUCAAGGUCAGUAAAAUGGCUGAUUAUGUAUAUUUAUGUAUGAAAUGGGGGUGUAGAAGACAAUUGCUGGAGAGCUUCCCUUUGUGACAUGACAGGAGGCUGUAAAGCCAACAAUGGUGCCUGCCUGAUGAGAUGUAGGGCGCAAAUGUACAAUAUAAAGUCAUUUUGAAUGGUGUUUAACUUGAUUAACCAAUAGUUCUCAUUGUGAUUCAUAAGUAAGUAGCUGUAUUCAGAAUCAUAAACAACAUUUGUUUGAAAUCCCCUUUUAUUAUGACAAAGGUUAGGUGACUGCUUAUAAAAUUAGACUACAGAAAAUAAUCCUGCAGCAACAGGAAGUGUGAAUUAUUAUGUGUAUAUUAAUGGACAAUUUUGUAGUGGUUAAUACAUUGAGGGAAAAGCCUUUUUAAAUCUCCUGCAGGAACGUGCUGCUGCACAGGGUGAUAAGAUGAAGAUCCUACAUCUGUAUGACUUUCCAGUUCCCUUUGUUUCUUUUUUCUUUUUUUCUUUAGCCUUUAUUUAACCAGGUCGGCCAGUUGAGAACAAGUUCUCAUUUACAACUGCGACCUGGCCAAGAUAAAGCAAAGCAGUGCGACACAAACAACAACACAGAGUUAACCAUGGGAUAAACAAAUGUACAGUCCAGUAACACAAUAGAAAAAUCUAUGUACAGUGUGUGCAAAUAUAGAAGAUUAGGGAGGUAAGGCAGUAAAUAGGCCAUAGUGGCGAAAUAAUUACAAUUCAGCAUUAACACUGGAGUGAAUAGAUAUGUAGAAGAUAAUGUGCAAGUAGAGAUACUGGGGUGCAAAAGAGCAACAACAAAAUAUUUUUUUUAAAUCAAUGUUUAUUUCUUACGUGCGCCGAAUACAACAGGUAAACAUUACAGUGAAAUGCUUACUUACAGGCUCUAACCAAUAGUGCAAAAAAGGUAUUAGGUGAACAAUAGGUAAGUAAAGAAAUAAAACAACAGUAAAAAGACAGUGGAAAAAUAACAGUAGCAAGGCUAUAUACAUUAGCGAGGCUACAUACAGACACCGGUUAGUUAGGCUGAUUGAGGUAGUAUGUAAAUAUGGUUAAUGUAACUGCAUAUAUGAUGAACAGAGAGUAGCAGUAGCGUAAAAGAGGGGUUGGUGGGUGGCGGGACACAAUGCAUUAUAGGGAUGAGGUAUUUGGGUGUGCUAUUUACAGAUGGGCUGUGUACAGGUACAGUGAUGGGUAAGCUGCUCUGACAGCUGAUGCUUAAAGUUAGUGAUGGAGAUAUAAGUCUCCAGCUUCAGUGAUUUUUGCAAUUCGUUCCAGUCAUUGGCAGCAUAGAACUGGAAGAAAAGGCUGCCAAAUAGGUGUUGGCUUUGGGGAUGACCAGUGAAAUAUACCUGCUGGAGUGCGUGCUAUGGUGACCAAUGAGCUGAGAUAAGGCGGGGCUUUACCUAGCAAAGACUUAUAGAUGACCUGGAGCCAGUGGGUUUGGCAACGAAUAUGUAGCGAGGGCCAGCCAACAAGAGCAUACAGGUCGCAGCGGUGGGUAGUAUAUGGGGCUUUGGUGACAAAACAGAUGGCACUGUGGUAGACUACAUCCAAUUUGCUGAGUAGAGUGUUGGAGGCUAUUUUGUAAAUGACAUCGCCGAAGUCAAGGAUCGGUAGGAUAGUCAGUUUUACGAGGGUAUGUUUAGCAGCAUGAGUGAAGGAGGCUUUGUUGCAAAAUAGGAAGCUGAUUCUAGAUUUACUUUUGGAUUGGAGAUGCUUAAUGUGAGUCAGGAAGUAGAGUUUAGUCUUUAUUUUAUACCUUUAUUUAACAAGUCAGUUAAGAACAAAUUCUUAUUUUCAAUGACGGCCUAGGAACAGUGGGUUAACUGCCUGUUCAGGGGCAGAAUGACAGAUUUGUACCGUGUCAGCUCAGGGGUUUGAACACCUAGGUAUUUGUAGUUGUCCACAUAUUCUAAGUCAGAACCGUCCAGAGUAGU